GGGGUCGUAGUUCAGUUGGUUAGAACGCCGGCCUGUCACGCCGGAGGUCGCCGGUUCGAGCCCGGUCGGCCCCGCCA
rnacentral:tRNA from 3 species